AAAUAAAGCAAAAAUGAAAGAGGUUGUCGUAGCACUAACAAUUCUGGUGUUUCUUAUUCAAGUUUUAGGUCUUGACGUGGAAGAGUGUUACGUUUGUUUAGAAAAAUGUGAUGUUCCUUUACAAAAGCAGAAAUGUCAAGAAAAUCAGAAAGUGAAAUGUUAUAGCAUCGAAAUCGUAUCCAGUUAAUAAAAAAUGCUUGUUUACAUAACACAAAUUCUAUAAACACCAGAACUGUCAAACUGUCUUUAACUACAUAUCACGUUAAAAACGUUUUAACGUUGUAUUUAUUUUUUAUAACAAGUUUUUCAACGAAGCACAUCCAACAAAUUUCUAAAAAUAUUCUACCAGAGUUUUGGCGUUUUUGGAAUUUUCUGUGGCGCAUGAUCAUUUAAUGUUGAUUAUUGUAGGCGAUAUGACGUGGGUUGAGAAAGGAUGCCUUCCUGCACAUGUUGCUGAUACAGAGUGUUUUAAAGCUAAUAAAAAUUUUGGAACAACCUGUAGAAUUUGUGAUCAAAACUUGUGCAAUGGUAACAAACACAAUAUUUUUGAUGUAACAUACAAAUUAUUAAUUUCUGUAUCAAUUCUAAUGUAUUAUGUCUAAGAUCAAUACACUAUCUUAUUUAAAA